rnacentral:rRNA from 1 species
GUACCACCUGAUCCCUUCCCGAACUCAGAAGUGAAACAUCAUCGCGCCAAUGGUAGUGUGGCUCCGGCCAUGUGAGAGUAGGUCAUCGUCAGCU